AACGAACGCUGGCGGCAUGCCUAACACAUGCAAGCCGAACGAGACCUUCGGGUCUAGUGGCGCACGGGUGCGUAACGCGUGGGAACCUGCCCUUAGGUUCGGAAUAACUCCCCGAAAGGGGUGCUAAUACCGGAUAAUGUCUUCGGACCAAAGAUUUAUCGCCUUUGGAUGGGCCCGCGUUGGAUUAGCUAGUUGGUAGGGUAAAAGCCUACCAAGGCGACGAUCCAUAGCUGGUCUGAGAGGAUGAUCAGCCACACUGGGACUGAGACACGGCCCAGACUCCUACGGGAGGCAGCAGUGGGGAAUAUUGGACAAUGGGCGAAAGCCUGAUCCAGCAAUGCCGCGUGAGUGAUGAAGGCCUUAGGGUUGUAAAGCUCUUUUACCCGGGAUGAUAAUGACAGUACCGGGAGAAUAAGCUCCGGCUAACUCCGUG
rnacentral:rRNA from 1 species